UAAGGAAUAUUGGACAAUGGGCGCAAGUCUGAUCCAGCCAUGCCGCGUGAAGGAUGAAUGCCCUCUGGGUUGUAAACUUCUUUUAUAGGGGAAGAAAGAUACUUUUUUUAAGGUAGUUGACGGUACCCUAUGAAUAAGCACCGGCUAACUCCGUGCCAGCAGCCGCGGUAAUACGGAGGGUGCAAGCGUUAUCCGGAUUUACUGGGUUUAAAGGGUGCGUAGGCGGGCAUGUAAGUCAGUGGUGAAAUACCGGAGCUUAACUUCGGAACUGCCAUUGAUACUAUAUGUCUUGAAUAUUGUGGAGGUAAGCGGAAUAUGUCAUGUAGCGGUGAAAUGCAUAGAUAUGACAUAGAACACCGAUUGCGGAGGCAGCUUGCUACGCAAAUAUUGACGCUGAGGCACGAAAGCGUGGGGAUCAAACA
rnacentral:rRNA from 1 species